rnacentral:rRNA from 1 species
CCCUGCCUUUUGUACACACCGCCCGUCACACCAUGGGAGUUGGAUUCACCCGAAGGCAGUGCGCUAACCGCAAGGAGGCAGCUGACCACGGUGGGUUCAGCGACUGGGGUGAAGUCGUAACAAGGUAGCCGUAGGUGAACCUGCAGAAGG